GGAGUUGUGGCUCAGUGGUAGAGUGUUUGCCUGGCAUGUAUGAGGCACUCGGUUUGAUCCCCAGCACCA
rnacentral:tRNA from 1 species